rnacentral:rRNA from 1 species
GACGAACGCUGGCGGCGUGCUUAACACAUGCAAGUCGAACGAAGUGGCGAAUGGGUGAGUAACGCGUAAUCAACCUGCCCUUCAGAGGGGGACAACAGUUGGAAACGACUGCUAAUACCGCAAACUGAAGGAGGGGAUUGCGUCUGAUUAGCAAGUUGGAGGGGUAACGGCCCACCAAGGCAAUGAUCAGUAGCCGGUCUGAGAGGAGUAACGGCCACAUUGGGACUGAGAAACGGCGCAGACUCCGACGGGAGGCAGCAGUGGGGAAUCUUCCGCAAUGGACGAAAGUCUGACGGAGCAACGCCGCGUGAGUUAUGACGGCCUUCGGGUUGUAAAGCUCUGUUAAUCGGGACGCGGUACCGGAAUAGAAAGCCACGGCUAACUACGUGCCAGCCGCCGCGGUAAUUC